AUAUCCAUGGUACCUCUCAGGUGGACCGCACCACGUCUAUGUUCAACGUGAACCCAGGCGGCUCCAUUUGAGUUGCAGACCCGAUUUUCUGAACCGUAUUUUGCAGCAACCAGGUCCCCUAUCGGAUCCCAAAUCUAGGUCCUCCUAUCCAUUUCUGCAUUGUCAAAGUAGAGAGAGAGAGAGAGAGAGAGAGGAUGAAUUUGAGCCCCGUGUGGAGUCUUCCUCUCCAGAGACCGAGUUCGUGUUGGAGUCUAAGACAGAGAAAGACACCUCCAUCUAGAGUUGUAUUCCUAUCACAAUUAACUCCUUCCAACAACAGCAGCAGCAGCAGCAGCAAUCACAGUACAACGGAGCAGCUGAGAGGCCUACUCGACCAGCUUCAUACCGAAGCGAAGCAAACCAGUAUCAAAACAAAUAAUGCAAGAAUGAGGCUUAUGAGGUUGUCAGAGGCUGCAGAGAAGCUUCGGCGACAGGCGGCAGUUGAGGUUCAAGCUGGCAAGGAAAAUGAAGCGAGGGAACUGCUCCUGCAGAAGCGGAAGGUGAUGCAAGCUUUGGAGAAAUCAAAGAGACGCAUUGAGUUGCUCGAUAAGCUUUCAGCAAUGCUAAAUGAGGCAAUUUCAGUGAAAGAAACACAACUAGUUGGGAAUGUUGCUUUGGAUCUUCAAGUUAGCAGAGAAGAUGCUUCUCAUCCAAUUCGCAUCAUCUCUCCAAAGGAAGAUGUCAUAGAAGAUUCAAAAGAAGCCAAAGUGUUUGAGUCAGGUGGCACUAAAUUUGGUGAGGAUCAAGAACUGGAGUUCCAAGAAGAGUAUCAAUCAAAUGCACCUGUUGAUUAUCAGCAAGAGGAUACUGAAGGGGCUCUGAGCAUGGGAACUUGGAAUAAAAACGAGAAGAUCAGCAGUUUGAAGAGCAUAUCCUCGUAUGAGAACUUUCUCAAAAGACUAGAUCUACAGUUCCAUGAAAUUGAAGCAGAACUUCUGAUGAUUUUAAGGCUCACAGCCUUGGGAACAGAAAGCAAUCAGAAGCAAAAUAAUUUGAAUUUGCAGCAAACAUUGGAACUUCUUGAAGAUGUGCAUCACAUUAGAUCAAGGGUUGCAAACAUCAUACUGACCACAACAGACAGCAGAUAAGCUUUAUGCCAGAUUUUUGCUUUUUCUUGGGAGGGACAUUCCAAAGUCCAAAGCCAUUUGGACAUUAUUGGAAGAAGCUACAAUAGAAGGUCAAUAAUCAGGUAUCGUUUCAGUUGUUCCUUCCAUAUUUCCUCGUUCCUUCUUGCAUUUAAAGAAAAAUAUAAAAGAAACUGCAUAUAUGAAGGGAAAAAAAUAAAAUCAUAGAAUGAUUUUAUUUUCUGGGUGACCUUUCCACAUAACAAAUUAUGUUGUUUAGUUGAAACAGUACGUUAGUCUGAAAACUUUGCCUCUAAAUUUGAAUUGCGAAUAUUUUUAAAUUUCAUCUUCUUUCUUUCUGCCAACUUCUUUGGCUUUCUAAUUCAGUUAGUGCAGAACACAGGAAAAGCUUGCUUCAGGGUGUUUGUCGGCUGUCAUUUACAGGUUUUUAGAAGACAUCUCUCCGAAGUGGAGGAAGACUUUGUGAGACUUUCUCACUCCCAGCUCAAGUGAAGAUCAAUGUCUCAAGAGAGGAUCUUGUGGUAUGCUGCUGGGAUCCUUCUCUCCGGUUCACAGUCAAGUCUGUACAGGGAGCUUAUAGAGGAGAGCCUCCGUGAAGCUCCCAUUGGUUGGAUUUGGAAAGCAAAGGUCCCUAGAGCCAUUGCCUUUGCAUGGCUUUGCAGAUUGGGACCGUAUUCUCACCAUCAAUUGGCUUCAUAGGAGGAAUAUGGUUCUUGUUAGUAGGUAUUGCAUCUCUUCAUCCAUUGUUCAUUCAGGCCUGCUGUUUGGGAGUAGUGCUUCCAACAGUUUAAUGUGGUCUGGUUGAUGCCGUGAUCAAUUCAGCAAUUGGCAGCAGCUUGGAAGUUAGGCCCUUUGGGCCAGAAGUGCAAAAAUGGUGGAAUUUCUGUUUUCUGGUUAUCCUCUGGGCAAUUUGGAAAGAAAGGAACAGCCGCACUUUUGACGGCCAAGUUACUCCAGUUUUAGCCAUUAUAUCUCUUGUCAAAUACCUUGUUUCUUCUUGGAUCGUGGCAUCGGGUUCCUUCUAUGUGUUUUCUUUGGUCAGCAAUUCUCUCCUCUGGUCAGAGGUGUCUUGUAAUGCUUUAGCUGUGUAGUGGCCUUUUGGCCUUCCUUUUAGUAAAAAUUUUGAUUAUUACCAAUAGGAGGACUGUUUGUCCCCAAAAGUUGGAAUAAAAAAAGGAUGGCAUGUCUUUGGUA